ACUGCUGAGUUACUUAAUUAAGCUUCUAGGCUCAAGCUGACACAAUGUAUCAACCACAAUAGGUUCUGGGAGAAAGAUGUAAUUCAUUUUAAAAUGUGUUUGUUGUAUUUGAGGUAUGUGUUCUGUGUGUGUUUGUUCCUUGUGCUUACAGCAUUCAUUACAUUUUCUUUCUGAAACAGUACAUGAUCUGCUCUUUCUUACUCUCGCUUCUCAUAGUUUGUGUGGGAGGCACCCAGUUCUAAGAGAAACCCGGGUCUGAUAGUCAAGAACACAGGUCUGGCCUAAGUCAGUCAGUGCCCUGGGUUCCUCUGCAUACAGUGACUGGCCUUGGGGUGAUUACAUGAUCAAAGAAUCUCAGUACCUUUGCUAAAAUUCUAUGACAGAGAGGAUUGCCUUUUCCCCUUUCCCAGUGAAUUCUAAUCUGAGUGACUGUAGCCCUAGCAAUGUUGAUCACUAUCUUACAACCACAAGGAAGGGGAGAACGGAGCCAAGACUGAGGAAACAGAACCAAGGAAUUUAGAGGAAGAUACCAACUCCUGGAGCUUUAGCAAAAGCUAAAGUUACCCCUGGCUUGCUCACUUACAUGAGUCAAUAAAUUCCUGCUUUUGCUUAAAGUAAUUUAAAUUGAAUAUUUCAGUUGCAACACAAAGAAUCCUCAUUGUGGACACCCAUGCACAGAUGCUAAGGUAAACACGUGAGCUGGGAAUUGUAGAUUUGAGCCUAGGCUGUAAACAUAGAAAAGGGAUGUAAAGAUAGAAAGUAAAGAUAGUACAUGUAGCGGGCUCCUUUGAAAAGUUAAUCAAGUGAUGGGGAGGAAGGUAGGGUUUAGGAGUCAGGGAAGGUAUCUUUGCAGCCAGUUCAUUUGCAUGACGUCAGUAUUCUUUUCUCCUUUGCUAAGAUUUCCCAUUGGCCUCCAGGCCCUUCUGCCUCUGCUUCUCUUUUUUUAUUUUAUUUUUAUUUUUAUUUUUUCCAGUACCGGGAAUCGAACUCACGACCUUGCGCUUGCCAGUGCAGCAGCACCAUGCCGCCUGGAUGACCGCCUCCUCCCGGCCAGUGCCUGUGGCAGGGGUGGGCAGAUGUUUAACGAGUGAAUGAUGGCAACAGGUGAGAUUGCUGCAGCAGUCUGCAGAUGAUUCCGGUUGUGUCGUUGGUCCCGAUUAUGUGUUCACCAAAGAGGCACCUUUGCUGUGUACUUGGAUGCUUCAGGUAACGGCUUCCAUUCCUCCCAUUCUCCGCCUUCCCUCGCACACAUUUUCUGACUCUCCAGCGUAUGUUUAAAAAACAAACUGUGGUUUUAUUACUAGCAUCAGAAGUGGGCUACAUGGAGUGGUGGGUGGGCUGGGCUGGGGGUCUGUGUGGGCCAGGAGGAGGUGAUAACUGAGCGCCUGGCAGGGGCAAGGCGUGAGGCUACCCCAGGGGGCUUUAGAGACGCUUCUGGGCUGCCAGGAAGGAGUCA